AUUGAACGCUGGCGGCAGGCCUAACACAUGCAAGUCGAGCGAGCGGCGGACGGGUGAGUAAUGUAUGGGGACUGCCCGAUAGAGGGGGCUAACUACUGGAAACGGUAGCUAAUACCGCAUACUAUCGGAUAACCCAUAUGGGAUUAGCUAGUAGGUGGGGUAAUGGCUCACCUAGGCGACGAUCCCUAGCUGGUCUGAGAGGAUGAUCAGCCACACUGGAACUGAGACACGGCCCAGACGCCUACGGAGGCAGCAGUGGGGAAUAUUGCACAAUGGGCGAAAGCCUGAUGCAGCCAUGCCGCGUGUAUGAAGAAGGCCCUAGGGUUGUAAAGUACUUUCAGUGGGGAGGCGUUACCAACAGAAGAAGCACCGGCUAACUCCGGGCCAGCCGCCGCGGUAAUUC
rnacentral:rRNA from 1 species